AAGUCAUUACAACAUGAAAACACUUCUGGAAGAAGCAACGUGAAAUUAAGAAGUCAGUCUGAACACUUGGUUGGUGUUAGCUCAUAAAUGAGCUACAUUCUACUAUGGCUACGACUCGUUCUACUGGUCUAGAAAGUUCCAUCUAGGAACCACUACAGCAGUGUGCCCUGAACCCACAAACCCAGGGAAACCGCAACCAGGAGGCUCUGCUGGAGCUAAAGCUGUGUCCCAAGUCCUGGGUCCGGGAGAAAGGAGGGAUUUUGAAUGGGAUCACAAGAGAUGACAUCAGUCACAGAGGCCAGAAAGGCCAGAACAGCCACCCCGCGAUGAACUUUUAAGGAAGCAGGAACAUCUAAAGAAUCUCUACAAGCAACAGGGAACCAAAGAAGUAAAUCUACUAAAGAAGUGCCUUAUCCCUGACCAUCUCAGAAAAGGUGGUUUUGGAGCUCAAACAACUACAUGGAACAUCUGAGAUCUGAGAUAAGAGUUUGUUGACAUUGGAGAUGGGCUAUAAAAGUACAACGAAGCCCAAUGUUAGUUAAUUUUGGCAAUUAUUAUUAACUUUGCUUUCUGGAUUACUAUAUCUGUAUACUAAUUUCUUCUGUUUACAAGUUAAGACGAUUAAUAGGGGAAUUAAGACCAUGAUAGUGACACUUUAGGCCAAAACCCACCUCAAAUGGCCUGAUAUUUUGCCUUUAGUAGGGGGAAAUUCAUAUAAUAAAGUUUUCUUUCUGGUUUUUA